GUGCUCACUUUGGCAGCACAUAUACUAAAAUUGGACCCAUACAGAGAUUAGCAUAGCCCCGCUGCGCAAGGUGGACGUGCAAAUUUGUGAAGCAUUUCAUAUUUUA
ensembl:snRNA U6 U6 spliceosomal RNA